AAUGAACGCUGGCGGCGCGCCUAAUACAUGCAAGUCGAGCGAGAAGACGUAGCAAUACGUUUGUAAAGCGGCGAACGGGUGAGGAAUACAUGGGUAACCUACCCUCGAGUGGGGAAUAACUAGCCGAAAGGUUAGCUAAUACCGCGUACGCUCCUUGGACUUCGGUUCAGGGAGGAAAGCGAUACCGUGGGUAUCGCGCUCUUGGUUGGGCUCAUGUCCUAUCAGCUUGUUGGUGAGGAACGGCUCACCAAGGCUUCGACGGGUAGCUGGUCUGAGAGGACGAUCAGCCACACUGGCACUGCGACACGGGCCAGACUCCUACGGGAGGCAGCAGUAAGGAAUAUUGCGCAAUGGGCGAAAGCCUGACGCAGCGACGCCGCGUGGGGGAUGAAGGUCUUCGGAUUGUAAACCCCUUUCGGGAGGGAAGAUGGAACGAGCAAUCGUUCGGACGGUACCUCCAGAAGCAGCCACGGCUAACUUCGUGCCAGCAGCCGCAGUAA
rnacentral:rRNA from 1 species